rnacentral:rRNA from 1 species
AGUCACUGACGUAGUUUGAUCCUGGCUCAGAAUGAACGCUGGCGGCAGGCCUAACACAUGCAAGUCGAGCGAGGUAGCAAUACCUAGCGGCGGACGGGUGAGUAACGCGUGGGAAUAUGUCCCUUUGGUACGGAAUAGUCUCGGGAAACUGGGGGUAAUACCGUAUGUGCUCUUUUGCUGUAGUGGUGAGAGAGGAAAGAUUUAUCGCCAAAGGAUUAGCCCGCGUUGGAUUAGGUAGUUGGUGGGGUAAUGGCCUACCAAGCCGACGAUCCAUAGCUGGUUUGAGAGGAUGAUCAGCCACACUGGGACUGAGACACGGCCCAGACUCCUACGGGAGGCAGCAGUGGGGAAUCUUAGACAAUGGGCGCAAGCCUGAUCUAGCCAUGCCGCGUGAUCGAUGAAGGCCUUAGGGUUGUAAAGAUCUUUCAGGUGGGAAGAUAAUGACUGUACCACCAGAAGAAGCCCCGGCUAACUCCGUG